rnacentral:lncRNA from 1 species
GUUAGUUUCAAAUUGGUGUUGUUAGUCCAAAUGUGAGAUCCAUUCUUGACAAGGGUUUUCCUCUCAGUGAUGACUGCAGGACUAUCUUCCCUGAAAGAUGUAAGCUAUUUCAAGGUGGUCAAGAACUGUAACACCAAAGCUGUCAUUUAUCCAUCUACCAAAUCUGCCUCACCUUAAGGGACCAAAACCACAAGGAUGGCUUUUAAAUUUGAAAGGGUGCUUUAAAAAGCACAUGGGAACUGAGACGUCAAAAAGGAAAGAUGAGCUGCUGACACUUUUAACAAGCCAAAAUGAAGAGAAAGUGCAUGAUUCAUUAGACAAUGUCAAGAAAGGAAAAAAAGUUCCACUAAUCAUAACAAGACAGAGAAAGGAAAACUAGACCCAAACCUUGCCCAUAUGUUCAGUGGUAAAGAAAACUUUAAAUAUGCUCUCAAAAAAUGUGAAGAGAGGAGGAGGAGGUCCUAAGAGCCAUAGAAAGUGUGUUCCAAAUGGCAAGGGGAUAAUAUGAAAAUGUGAAAUGUGAAAAUGAGUGUGGAACACAGCCCUUCACUUCAUCGACACUCUGUGAGAUCCUGUAAGAGGGACAUAUGGAAGCUCAAAACAAGAAGAAAGUGGGAACUUCUUAGCAG